CCUACGGGGCGCAGCAGUGGGGAAUAUUGCACAAUGGGCGAAAGCCUGAUGCAGCAACGCCGCGUGAAGGAAGACGGUUUUCGGAUUGUAAACUUCUAUCAAUAGGGAAGAAAGAAAUGACGGUACCUAAAUAAGAAGCCCCGGCUAACUACGUGCCAGCAGCCGCGGUAAUACGUAGGUGGCGAGCGUUGUCCGGAAUUACUGGGUGUAAAGGGAGUGUAGGCGGGAAAGCAAGUCAGAAGUGAAAACUAAGGGCUUAACCCAUAGCCUGCUUUUGAAACUGUUUUUCUUGAGUGAAGUAGAGG
rnacentral:rRNA from 1 species